rnacentral:rRNA from 1 species
CCCUACGGGGCGCAGCAGUGAGGAAUAUUGGUCAAUGGUCGGGAGACUGAACCAGCCAAGCCGCGUGAGGGAUGAAGGUACAGAGUAUCGUAAACCUCUUUUGUCAGGGAACAAAGGCGGGGACGUGUCCCCGGAUGAGUGUACCUGAAGAAAAAGCAUCGGCUAACUCCGUGCCAGCAGCCGCGGUAAUACGGAGGAUGCGAGCGUUAUCCGGAUUUAUUGGGUUUAAAGGGUGCGCAGGAGGUCUGUUAAGGCAGCGGUCCAAGGACGGGGCUCAACCA